rnacentral:rRNA from 1 species
UACGUAGGGUGCAAGCGUUAAUCGGAAUUACUGGGCGUAAAGCGUGCGCAGGCGGCUUUGCAAGACAGAUGUGAAAUCCCCGGGCUCAACCUGGGAACUGCAUUUGUGACUGCAUGGCUGGAGUGCGGCAGAGGGGGAUGGAAUUCCGCGUGUAGCAGUGAAAUGCGUAGAUAUGCGGAGGAACACCGAUGGCGAAGGCAAUCCCCUGGGCCUGCACUGAUGCUCAUGCACGAAAGCGUGGGGAGCAAACAGG